GGGUGAGAAUCCCGUAUGUGAUCGGUGCCGGCGCCCGUGUAAAGCGCUUUCGACGAGUCGAGUUGUUUGGGAAUGCAGCUCAAAAUGGGUGGUAAAUUUCAUCUAAAGCUAAAUAUUGGCCAGAGACCGAUAGCGCACAAGUAGAGUGAUCGAAAGAUGAAAAGCACUUUGGAAAGAGAGUUAAACAGUACGUGAAAUUGUUGAAAGGGAAGCGCUUGCAACCAGACUUGCGGGCGGUCGAUCAUCCGAGGUUCUCCCCGGUGCACUCGAUCGUUCUCAGGCCAGCAUCGGUUUCCGGGGUGGGAUAAAGACGGUGGGAAUGUGGCUCUUCGGAGUGUUAUAGCCCACCGUGCAAUGCCGCCACCGGGGACCGAGGACCGCGCUUCGGCUAGGAUGCUGGCGUAAUGGUUGUAAGCGAC
rnacentral:rRNA from 1 species